CCAGCUCAGCGUUACGUUGGAACUCGAUAUACCCGACCACUAACACCUCUAUCCAUAUCAAAGUCGUCAGCGAGAACGGCAAUGGUUGUCCCAAAUACGACGAUCCUUCCACCAAUUCCACCUAAGUCGAACCAAACCAGAAAUGCAUCAAUCCAAAACCCAACUUCAACUUCAUUACAAUAAGAACGACAUAGGAAUUUUUAUAUUUGAUAAAACCGCAUAUUAAAUCUAGCUAGACUUUUUGGUUUCAAAUCUGCAUGCAUGUUCCGUGAGUUACAUAUUUAUUUAUUUUGGCCUGAUUUUAUUCCACAUACUAUACUUUUUUCUAUAUAAAACAAAUCUUGAUUAAAUUCUAAUGAGUGACGGAAGAUUGUCCACGUGUAAAAUAAUGUUAGUG
rnacentral:lncRNA from 1 species